rnacentral:rRNA from 1 species
AACGAACGCUGGCGGCAUGCCUAACACAUGCAAGUCGAGCGAGGACUUCGGUCCUAGCGGCGGACGGGUGAGUAACGCGUGGGAACGUGCCCUUUGGUUCGGAAUAGCCCCGGGAAACUGGGAGUAAUACCGGAUAAGCCCUACGGGGGAAAGAUUUAUCGCCAAAGGAUCGGCCCGCGUUGGAUUAGGUAGUUGGUGGGGUAAUGGCCUACCAAGCCGACGAUCCAUAGCUGGUUUGAGAGGAUGAUCAGCCACACUGGGACUGAGACACGGCCCAGACUCCUACGGGAGGCAGCAGUGGGGAAUCUUAGACAAUGGGGGAAACCCUGAUCUAGCCAUGCCGCGUGAGCGAUGAAGGCCUUAGGGUUGUAAAGCUCUUUCAGUGGGGAAGAUAAUGACUGUACCCAUAGAAGAAGCCCCGGCUAACUCCGUGCCAGCAGCCGCAGUAAAAC